rnacentral:rRNA from 1 species
AGCAGUAGCCGCGGGAAUACGUAUGUCACAAGCGUUAUCCGGAUUUAUUGGGCGUAAAGCGCGUCUAGGUGGUUAUGUAAGUCUGAUGUGAAAAUGCAGGGCUCAACUCUGUAUUGCGUUGGAAACUGUGUAACUAGAGUACUGGAGAGGUAAGCGGAACUACAAGUGUAGAGGUGAAAUUCGUAGAUAUUUGUAGGAAUGCCGAUGGGGAAGCCAGCUUACUGGACAGAUACUGACGCUGAAGCGCGAAAGCGUGGGUAGCAAACAGGAUUAGAUACCCCAGUAGUCCCUGUCUCUUAUACA